rnacentral:tRNA from 1 species
GCUGUAGCUUAGUGGUAGAGCGCUUGCCUAGCAUGUGUGAAGCACUGGGUUUGAGUCUCAGCAUCA